rnacentral:misc_RNA from 1 species
GUAAAUAUAAUUAAGUUGAUUAUAUAUAUAAGAAAAAGUUUUACUAGAAACAAAAAGAUGAUCAACCCAGCAUUUUACAUAUUACAAAAGAAGAGUUCUUAACUUAAAUACACACCCAAGAUUUUACAUCGUAAAAAAGUAAUUAAUAGGUCCAAAGAAAAGCUCCCAUAGCAAAUUUUCUCUUUUGAUAGACAUCUCCAUUACUAGGCAGUCCAUAUUGAGUAAGUAAACAAUCUAUUUUCCAUUCUGGCAUUGCUUCAUAUUCAGCUCGUGUGUAUCUUGGGUAAUGCAAUGGCAUAUGAAAACCAUACCCACACCGGUCUCCGCCGUUCACUCCACCGCCAUCAUCCGGUGGUGCUGGCCGUGACAUAGACUCCAUUCCACCUCCGCUCAUUUUUAUUGGAACCUUUGUGGUGGAGAUAUAUAGAGUGUGGCACUCUAAGCUAUUUAUAGAGGAAAGAAAGAAAGUUUAGUUUUUU